rnacentral:rRNA from 1 species
AUUGAACGCUGGCGGCAGGCCUAACACAUGCAAGUCGAACGAGUGGCGGACGGGUGAGUAAUUUCUGGGAAACUGCCCGAUGGAGGGGGAUAACUACUGGAAACGGUAGCUAAUACCGCAUACCAUCGGAUGUGCCCAGAUGGGUUUAGCUAGUAGGUGGGGUAAAGGCUCACCUAGGCGACGAUCCCUAUCUGGGCUGAGAGGAUGACCAGCCACACUGGAACUGAGACACGGUCCAGACUCCUACUGGAGGCAGCAGUGGCGAAUAUUUCACAAUGGUCGCAAGCCUGAUGCAGCCAUGCCGCGUGUAUGAAGAAGGCCGUCGGGUUGUAAAGUACUUUCAGCGAAGAGGCGUUACUCGCAGAAGAAGCACCAGCUAACUCCGUGCCAGCCGCCGCGGUAAUUC